rnacentral:rRNA from 1 species
GAUCAUGGCUCAAGAACGAACGCUGGCGGCAGGCCUAACACAUGCAAGUCGAACGCCGUAGCAAUACGGAGUGGCAGACGGGUGAGUAACGCGUGGGAACCUACCUUACGGUCGGGAAUAGCUCAGGGAAACUUGGGGUAAUACCGGAUACGCCCUUACGGGGAAAGAUUUAUCGCCGUUAGAUGGGCCCGCGUAGGAUUAGCUAGUUGGUGAGGUAAUGGCUCACCAAGGCGACGAUCCUUAGCUGGUCUGAGAGGAUGAUCAGCCACACUGGGACUGAGACACGGCCCAGACUCCUACGGGAAGGCAGCAGUGGGGAAUAUUGGACAAUGGGCGCAAGCCUGAUCCAGCCAUGCCGCGUGAGUGACGAAGGCCUUAGGGUUGUAAAGCUCUUUUGGCGGGGAAGAUAAUGACGGUACCCGCAGAAUAAGCUCCGGCUAACUUCGUG